GAAACGCGAACCAAGCAGUCACUCGCCAGUGGCGUAAGACUUGGAGCGGACGAGCGCAAGCACGUCCUACA
rnacentral:ncRNA from 1 species